rnacentral:rRNA from 1 species
CUACGGGACGCUGCAGUGAGGAAUAUUGCACAAUGGGGGGAACCCUGAUGCAGCAACGCCGCGUGGAGGAUGACGCAUUUCGGUGUGUAAACUCCUUUUAUAUGUCAAGAAAAUGACGGUAGCAUAUGAAUAAGCGCCGGCUAACUCCGUGCCAGCAGCCGCGGUAAUACGGAGGGCGCAAGCGUUACUCGGAAUCAUGGGCGUAAAGGACGCGUAGGCGGGUUGAAAAGUCAGGUGUGAAAGCCUACAGCUUAACUGUAGAACUGCACUUGAAACUCUCAAUCUAGAGUAUGGGGGAGGCAGAUGGAAUUAGUGGUGUAGGGGUAAAAUCCGUAGAUAUCACUAGGAAUACCUAAAGCGAAGGCGAUCUGCUGGAACAUUACUGACGCUAAGGCGUGAAAGCGUGGGGAGCAAACAGGAUUAGAUACCAGUGUAGUC